AGUUCAAAGCCCUAAACCUAGUAGUUCAAAGGCACGCUUCUCACUUAGUUCUCUCUUCAUCGUUGUAGACGAACCUAGAACCCAUCAUUUUUCUUCUCUCUUUAGACCAACCCAAGUAGGAAUCUUGUAGGAAAUGACUAAAGGAUAAAUAUUUUUCAUUUUAGCAGGAAACUCCAGCAACCUACACUUUCAGCAAGGUCUUCAUCCCUAAAGCUUCCUCUAGUUGCAUAUAUUCAUCAAACAGAGAACAAACUUCACAUUACUUAUCUCCAUUGAAGAAGUUUUCAGAUAAUUGUUGUUGUCCCUUGUUGACUGAAGAGCUAAGUUUGGUCCGCAUCUCAUCUCCAAAGCCGAUGAACAGUCAUCGGAAUUGCCGAAAAGUUGCCAAGAAAGCCACCGCCUGUUGUUCCUCAGUCGCUGGAUAUUCAAUGGAUAUUGGAGAUAAAGAUUGGAUGGAUCUCCAAAGAUCCACCAAUAAAUAUAUUCGUGGAGUUAAUGAUUUUCUUGAUAAGGCAUUUGAACGAGCUUCCCAAGGAAAUGAAAUAUUAUUCCCUUGUAAGAAGUGCUUUAAUCGUUAUUGGCAUUGUCGAAAUGUGGUGGAGGAUCACUUGAUUUGUCAUGGGUUUGUUCAUGGAUACACCAAAUGGGCUUUCCAUGGAGAAAGAUUUUCCUCAAGAAAUGCACCACAUCCAACCAAUGAUGAUGAAACUUCCGACAUGCAUGAUGAUAUUGAUAAACUACUUCAUGAUACUUUUAAAAAUAUAGAAGAUGACAUGAGGCAUGAAGGAGUGAGAGAGGGACCGUCUGAAGAUGCAAAAAGAUUUUUUAAAUUAGUGGAGGAACGGAAACAAGAGUUGUAUCCAGGGUGUAAGAAUUUUUCUAAGUUGAGUUUCACCAUCAUAUUAUACUUUUUUAAAUUCCUUCAUAGGUUGAGUGAUGUAGCCUUUUCAGACUUGUUAGACUUGAUAAAAGAGGCAUUUCCAUUUUCUCAGAUACCCGAGUCUUUUUACAAGGCAAAAAAGGUGAUGGGGAAGCUUGGAAGGAUUUUGAUUCCUUGCACCCUGACUUUGCUAAUGAUGCUCGUAAUGUUAGAUUGGGUCUUUCAAGCGAUGGUUUCAAUCCAUUCCGAACUAUGAGCAUUUCCCAUAGCACAUGGCCAUUUAUGUUAAUGAACUAUAAUAUAUCGCCGUGGAUUUGCAUGGAGUCGGAGUAUAUAAUGUUGUCAAUGAUUAUUCCAGGUCCAUCAUAUCCUAGAAAUGAUAUAGAUGUAUACUAACAACCACUAAUUGCGUAGUUGAAGGAACUAUGGAAAGUGGAAGUGAAAACAUAUGAUGUUGAAACUAACCAAACAUUUACUAUGCGUGCAACGUUAUUAUGGACAAUAAGUGAUUUUCCAGCACUAGCUAUGCUUUCCGGAUGGAGCACCAAGGGAAGAUGGGCAUGCCCCACUUACAACUAUAAUAGUUGUUCCCAAUAUCUCAAACAUAGUCAUAAGAUGUGUUACAUGGGUCAUAGGGCAUUUUUGCCUCGUGAUCAUCCAACUAGAAGAGAUAAGAAAUCAUUUGAUGGAAAAGAGGAGCAUAAAGCUGCACCUACUCCCUUAUCAGGCGUACAAGUGCUUGAAGAUAUGCUGAAUUCAAUAGUGUUUUUGAAAAGAGCCAAAAGAAAAGAAAAUGAAAGAAUGAUGGUUCAUGGAAAAAAAAUCCAUAUUUUUGAAUUGCCAUAUUAGGCAACAAACAAAUUGAGGCACAAUCUUGAUGUGAUGCACAUAGAGAAGAAUAUUUGUGAUAGUUUGAUUGGAACUUUAUUGGAUAUACUUGUAAAGUCCAAAGAUCACAUAAAUUUUCAAUAUGACUACGCAAAGAGCUUCAACCAAUAAAAGAUUGUGAUAUUGGAAACAUUCAUUUGGCUAAAGCUUGUUUCUCCAUGAAACCAGAGGAGAAGAAGAUAUUUUGCACCGUCUUAAAAGAUGCCAAAUUACCAAAAGGGUGUGCCUCUAAUAUGUCAAGUCAUGUGCAAAUUGAAGAGAUGAAAGUAUCAGGAUACAAAAGACAUGACGUUCAUUUCAUAAUGCAUUACUUGCUCCAGGUCGCAGUAAGGAAAAUCUUACCCAAGAAUGUGUCUUUGGUCUUGAUUAGGUUGGAGAAUUUUUUUAAAGCCAUAUGUAGUGAGGUUAUAAGAAGAAGGGAUCUUGACAAGAUGAAGGCUGAAAUCAUAGAUAUAGAAUGUGACCUUGAAAAGAUUUUUCCUCCAUCCUUUUUUGAUAUAAUGACACAUUUGCCUAUCCAUUUAGUAGAUGAAAUUAAGCCUAGGGGCCCGACUCAUUUGCGUUGGAUGUAUUCUACUGAAAGAAAUAUGUGUAACUUCAAGGGGCUUGUUCGUAAUCGAAAAAAUCCAGAAGGAUCAAUAGUAGAGGGGUUUUCAGCUGUAGAAUGUUUGACCUUUUGUUCAAGAUACCUUCCUGAUGGGGUGAAGACAAGAUUCAGUAGGUAUCAAACCGAGGAUGAGGAGGACAUUCAAACAGAGGUAGAUGAUUUUUCACUUUUAUUUCCUAAGACAGGUCAUCCAAUCGGAAGUAAGAAUAAAAGAAAAGGCAAGCCUUUUGACAUGGAGAAUCAGGAGUGGUUUGAAGCAUAUAUCGAUAUGCUUUAUUCAAUACUAGAGAUGAACAAGUAGAGACAUUCAUCAAGGAACAUAAAGAUUUAAUUGAUAAUCGCACCAGAGGAAAUGCAUGGGUAAAAGCACAAAUCCAUAGCAGAGAAUUUGGCGAUUGGUUUAGGGAAAAAGUUAAAAAUAUUGAAGUGUCUAAUCAUUUAAAAUGGCUAGCUAAAGGGCCUAAUUUUGUGGCUAAAAGAUAUACUGCAUAUUUCAUUAAUGGAUACCGAUUUCAUACAAAGACACGGGAUGCCCCAUGCAAGACUCAAAAUAGUGAAGUGGCUUUGUCAGCAACAACAGAUAGUUUUGCUAGUGCUAGGGAUCAAAAUCCUAUCGGUGGAAUGGUUUUCUAUUAUGGAAUUAUUCAGGAUAUCAUUGAUAUUGAUUAUUGGGGUUGUUUUAGUGUUGUACUAUUCAAAUGUGAUUGGUUUCGCAACGAAGUCGAUGAAUAUGGUUUGACUUGAGUGUACUUCAACAAAAAAUGCAGCACGAAUAAUCCUUUUGUACUAGCAUCUCAAGUGUAUAUCAAGUUUUUUAUGUGGAAGAACCAAUUGAGAAAAAUAUUUAUUAUGCAAGAAAUAAAGUUCCUGUUGAACUAUAUGAUUUGGAGGAAGAGAAUUUUCCUAAUAUUGAAGAAACAUUUUGGAGUGAAACUAAUGAUGAUGUUGGUUCAUCAGAAAGAUUUCUCGAUGUUGAUGUGAGGUGGUCGAGAGAAGAUCUCCCUGUUGAUAUCAUUGAUGUACCUUCCCUUACACAACAUUCACAGUAUGUAACUAUGGAAACAUCGGAAGAGGAGGAUGAUUUAGAUGAUACUGAUUGGGAUUGGAUGGAGGCUGAUGAUUGUCAAAGGAUCUUCCGAACUUGUUUAGAUGUAUAGUCUUCUUUUUUUUUUAUAUUUUUCUUUCUACAAUUUCUCUGAGGAUUCUUCAACUCCACAGUAGACCAACAUAACUCCAGAUCUUGUCAGCCUUUCUAGAAGUGAUCGUGCGUAGAAAUCUAUAGUUAUGAAGAGGUGAGAGUUUCUUACUUGGUUCUUCACCUUGGUGCUUAUCUUAUUAACUUUCACUCAUUUGAAAGAACUAAUAACUGCAAACAGUAUCAGAACAAUGAGGCUGGUUCAUUCCAAAAAUUAAAAUGCGGUGGCUAACAUAGAGAAUAGGCUCUUUAGGCUCCUAAACUGGUGGAAGUGGGGCAUGAGAUGGGGCUAAUAUGGGAUAUAAGAAAUAGUAAUGUUUUUUACUUGUCAAAAAAGAAAAAAAAAUAGUAGCUUGCUGCCCAAGAAUGUCUUUUUCUGCUAGACUAUUGAUUUUGACUUAAAUAGGCAUAUCACAUAUGUUAGGAAAACGUUUUGUGGACUAUAAAGUUAACAUUCUAACAUGAAUUUUAAUAUCUUGGUGUACCUUCCACACUUUUUUAACUUGUUCAGUCUUAUGCGAACAAAUAACUUUUAACACUUUUUUACACAGAUUUAGAUAGUCAUGAGUCAACAAGAGCCUUCAAAUAAAUACAAAAAAGCAGAAAACAAGACAUAUGCUAAACCUGGAUCAUUACCAUUUUUGGCAAAUAAAAAAAGACGUUUAUUGACAACAAAUAAAAUUGUUCAAGCUAUAGAAUCAGAGAAAGGGCAUCUGCUAAAAUUAAUUGAAGAACAACAACCUGUAGCACCACCAUCUGAAGCAAAUGGGCAAUUUGUAGAGAAGCAUCCUCUAGAGGAGCGACCUUUAGAGAAUCAAGUGCAAAUGAAUUCUGUCGCUCCAACAAAUGAACAACCUGAAGAACAAGGUAACAUAUAAGCCUAGAAAAUUAUUGAAUUCAUCCAUGAUUUCUAUUUUCUUGUAUUUUCUUAUAGCUGAAGGCCUUCCCACACAAAAUAAAAGAGGUAGAACGCAAAUGCCUAAAGUACCUGCCCAAAAAGAGCGUAAAUUGAUCCUACUAAACAGCAAGAAUCAACCUGUUGGUCCUACUGAUGAUGUUGUAACAGAGUUAAGUAGCUUCCUAGGCACAUUGGCAAGAACUGCGACCCUUUCCCCUUUGAUAUACUUUAUUGGAGGAGAAUGGACACUAAAAAGGAUUUAUGGGAGUAUACCAAGGAGAAAUACAUUAUUCCUGAAGCUGCAAAAAAAUGGACUUUGGUAACAAUUCGAGAUGCUUGGAGAAGGCAUAGAAGUGAGUUAAAGACAAAUUAUUAUGACCUAUAUGACAAUGAUGAAGUUCAAAUGGCGAAAAAUCGGGUCAUAUUCCAGAAUGUCAGUUUAGAGAGCUCCUCAAAUAUUGGAAGUCUGAGAAAUUCAAGAAAAUGUCUGAAACAAAUACUGCAAAUCGGCAAAAGCUAAUGAAUCCACACUACUGGCAAACAAAGUUUUGCUUUACUCCGAAAAAGAUAAGGAAACUAUAUAACAAAAGGAGAUCUUUGUGGCCACAAGAACAAGGAAACCAGAGCGUUUGUACAAAGCUUCGAAUGAAAACACAAUUAGUAAAAUUGCUGAAAUGGAGGAAGUUGAAGUACAAAUAAGUGCAAAUGGUCAGUCUGUUGAUGCAUUUUCAGCCGUCAUGGGUGCUGAAGACGUCUCAGACUAUAUGGAGCGAGGGUUACAAAGACUACUUUAAAAACAAAAAUUGACAAUUAUAGACCAGCUUUAAAUGCAACAAAUGAUGUAGUGCAACAAAUGGAAGAAAGGUUGCAAAAAAUGGAGAAACAAAUGGAGGAACAAAAGAAAACUAUGCGACAGGAAGUUUCGGCAGAUGUAAUUUCACAACUUUAGCAAGCAGUAUUAGUUGAUCCAAACAUACUAGCAGCGUUGUCCGUUCCUUCAACAAGAGAAGCUACUUCUGCACAAACGGUUAAUCAAGGUGAUGAAAUUGGAGGGGACAAAAGUAGUACAGAAGACUUGACGUGGGAGAUGGAUCGUGUUGAUGUUAACUUUACCUACGUUCUAGAAAUCUUUUAAUUUUGAGAAUUGAAAACUGUGGUGUGUUUCACCUUUUUUGAAUGGUCAAAAAAUAUGUAUAUUUUACUUUUAUCAAUAUUACCUAAUCAGGAUCUUGGAUAGUAAUUUUGGUAAUGAAUAGUUUCUUUUGUGGUGA